AAUAUUGUGCAAUGGGCGCAAGCCUGACCCAGCAACGCCGCGUGAAGGAAGAAGGCUUUCGGGUUGUAAACUUCUUUUGGCAGGGACGAAGAAAGUGACGGUACCUGCAGAAUAAGCUCCGGCUAACUACGUGCCAGCAGCCGCGGUAAUACGUAGGGAGCAAGCGUUAUCCGGAUUUACUGGGUGUAAAGGUCGCGUAGGCGGGACUGCAAGUCAGAUGUGAAGUCUGGGGGCUCAACCCCCAAACUGCAUUUGAAACUGUGGUUCUUGAGUGAUGGAGAGGCAAGUGGAAUUCCUAGUGUAGCGGUGAAAUGCGUAGAUAUUAGGAGGAACACCAGUGGCGAAGGCGACUUGCUGGACAUUAACUGACGCUGAGGCGCGAAAGCGUGGGGAGCAAACAGG
rnacentral:rRNA from 1 species